rnacentral:tRNA from 1 species
AAGACACUAGUAAAAUAUUAUAUUGCCUUGUCAUGGCAAAGUUGUAGGUUAAACCCCUGCGUGUCUUA